UUUGGAAUGGGGACAGCAUAUGUGGUUCAGACUACAAAUCACUUCUGUGUGACUGAGGGAAGAAGAGUCAGAAUAAAGAGAAACAUACUCUCUUCCAAAGAUUAACGACAGAAGGAGCUCUAGAAUUUCACAAAGGUACUGUCAGGACACAUGAAAAUCUGGAGAAAAAGACAGGCUUGAAGAGACCAAAAAGAAGAAAGCCUGCCAAUCACAUCUCCAGAGAUUCUGAGACACACACACCCCCACCCCUGGUGUAGGGGGAACAUCAUCUGAAAGGUGACACCUACUCUAAGGAACAGAAGUACCAGCUAAGGAGGACACACACUUGAAGAAAAAGUAGACAAUGAGGUAUUUUGCCUGCACACAUGUCUGUGCCUGGUGCCCACAGAGGCCAGAAGAGGACAUCAGGAGUUAAAGGAGUUAAAGACAAUUGUGACCCACCAUACGACAAACCCAGGCCCUCUGGAAGAGCAGCCAGUGAGUGAUCGUGAAUGCUGAGCCAUCUCCCCAGCAAUCAAACUGGAGAAAUGAUGGCAUUGUGCCAGGUUGGAUUAGGUUAAAUAAAAAUCACAAUCAUUGGCUAGG
ensembl:processed_transcript